GCGAAAUUCCUUGUCGGGUAAGUUCCGACCUGCACGAAUGGCGUAACGACUUCCCCACUGUCUCCAGCAGAGACUCAGCGAAAUUGAAUUCUCCGUGAAGAUGCGGAGUUCCCGCGGUCAGACGGAAAGACCCCGUGCACCUUUACUACAACUUCGCAGUGGCAUUAGUGGCGAUAUGUGUAGGAUAGGCGGGAGACUUUGAAACCAGGGCGCCAGUCUUGGUGGAGUCGUCCUUGAAAUACCGCCCUUAUCCUCAUUGAUGUCUAACCGCGAGCCGUGAACCCGGCUCCGGGACCCUGCGUGGUGGGUAGUUUGACUGGGGCGGUCGCCUCCCAAAGAGUAACGGAGGCGCGCGAAGGUUGGCUCAGAGCGGUCGGAAAUCGCUCGUUGAGUGC
rnacentral:ncRNA from 1 species